rnacentral:rRNA from 1 species
AUUGAACGCUGGCGGAAUGCUUUACACAUGCAGGUCGAACGGCAGCACGGACUUCGGUCUGGUGGCGAGUGGCGAACGGGUGAGUAAUGUAUCGGAACGUGCCCAGUCGUGGGGGAUAACGUAGUGAAAAUUACGCUAAUACCGCAUACGAUCUAUGGAUGAAAGCGGGGGAUCGCAAGACCUCGCGCGAUUGGAGCGGCCGAUAUCAGAUUAGGUAGUUGGUGGGGUAAAGGCCCACCAAGCCAACGAUCUGUAGCUGGUCUGAGAGGACGACCAGCCACACUGGAACUGGGACAAGGUCCAGACUCCUCCGGGAGGCAGCAGUGGGGAAUUUCGGACAAUGGGCGAAAGCCUGAUCCAGCCAUUCCGCGUGCAGGAUGAAGGCCCUCGGGUUGUAAACUGCUUUUGUACAGAACGAAAAGGUUUCUACUAAUACUAGGAGCUCAUGGCGGUACUGUAAGAAUAAGCACCGGCUAACUACGUGCCAGCCGCCGCAGUAA